rnacentral:rRNA from 1 species
AUUGAACGCUGGCGGCAUGCCUUACACAUGCGAGUCGAACGGCAGCACGGGAGCAAUCCUGGUGGCGAGUGGCGAACGGGUGAGUAAUAUAUCGGAACGUGCCCAGUCGUGGGGGAUAACGUAGCGAAAGCUACGCUAAUACCGCAUACGAUCUAUGGAUGAAAGCGGGGGAUCGCAAGGCCUCGCGCGAUUGGAGCGGCCGAUAUCAGAUUAGGUAGUUGGUGAGGUAAAGGCUCCCCAAGCCGACGAUCUGUGGCUGGUCUGAGACGACGACCAGCCACACCGGGACUGAGACACGGCCCAGACUCCUACGGGAGGCAGCAGUGGGGAAUUUUGGACAAUGGGCGCAAGCCUGAUCCAGCAAUGCCGCGUGCAGGAUGAAGGCCUUCGGGUUGUACACUGCUUUUGUACGGAGCGAAACGGCUUCCACUAAUACUGGGGGCUAAUGACGGUACCGUAAGAAUAAGCACCGGCUAACUACGUGCCAGCCGCCGCGGUAAGAC